rnacentral:rRNA from 1 species
ACGCUGGCGGCAGGCCUAACACAUGCAAGUCGAGCGGUAGCACAGGAGAGCUUGCUCUCUGGGUGACGAGCGGCGGACGGGUGAGUAAUGUCUGGGAAACUGCCUGAUGGAGGGGGAUAACUACUGGAAACGGUAGCUAAUACCGCAUGACCUCGCAAGAGCAAAGUGGGGGACCUUCGGGCCUCACGCCAUCGGAUGUGCCCAGAUGGGAUUAGCUAGUAGGUGGGGUAAUGGCUCACCUAGGCGACGAUCCCUAGCUGGUCUGAGAGGAUGACCAGCCACACUGGAACUGAGACACGGUCCAGACUCCUACGGGAGGCAGCAGUGGGGAAUAUUGCACAAUGGGCGCAAGCCUGAUGCAGCCAUGCCGCGUGUGUGAAGAAGGCCUUAGGGUUGUAAAGCACUUUCAGCGAGGAGGAAGGCGUUGCAGUUAAUAGCUGCAGCGAUUGACGUUACUCGCAGAAGAAGCACCGGCUAACUCCGUGCCAGCAGCCGCGGUAAUACGGAGGGUGCAAGCGUUAAUCGGAAUUACUGGGCGUAAAGCGCACGCAGGCGGUUUGUUAAGUCAGAUGUGAAAUCCCCGAGCUUAACUUGGGAACUGCAUUUGAAACUGGCAAGCUAGAGUCUUGUAGAGGGGGGUAGAAUUCCAGGUGUAGCGGUGAAAUGCGUAGAGAUCUGGGGGAAUACCGGUGGCGAAGGCGGCCCCCUGGACAAAGACUGACGCUCAGGUGCGAAAGCGUGGGGAGCAAAC